UCCUUCCGGGGGGGGSWGCAGUAGGGAAUCUUCCGCAAUGGGCGAAAGCCUGACGGAGCAACGCCGCGUGAGUGAUGAAGGUUUUCGGAUCGUAAAGCUCUGUUGCCAGGGAAGAACGUCCUCAAGAGUAACUGCUUGAGGAGUGACGGUACCUGAGAAGAAAGCCCCGGCUAACUACGUGCCAGCAGCCGCGGUAAUACGUAGGGGGCAAGCGUUGUCCGGAAUUAUUGGGCGUAAAGCGCGCGCAGGCGGCCAUUUAAGUCUGGUGUUUAAGCCCGGGGCUCAACCCCGGAUCGCACGGGAAACUGGAUGGCUUGAGUGCAGAAGAGGAGAGUGGAAUUCCACGUGUAGCGGUGAAAUGCGUAGAGAUGUGGAGGAACACCAGUGGCGAAGGCGACUCUCUGGGCUGUAACUGACGCUGAGGCGCGAAAGCGUGGGGAGCAAACAGGAUUAGAUCCCSCCGNNNWNUCCAC
rnacentral:rRNA from 1 species